UACGUAGGGGGCUAGCGUUGUCCGGAAUCAUUGGGCGUAAAGCGCGUGUAGGCGGCCCGGUAAGUCCGCUGUGAAAGUCGGGGGCUCAACCCUCGGAUGCCGGUGGAUACUGUCGGGCUCGAGUACGGAAGAGGCGAGUGGAAUUCCUGGUGUAGCGGUGAAAUGCGCAGAUAUCAGAAGGAACACCAAUUGCGAAGGCAGCUCGCUGGGACGUUACUGACGCUGAGACGCGAAAGCGUGGGGAGCAAACAGG
rnacentral:rRNA from 1 species